UACACUCCUACGGGAGGCAGCAGUGGGGAAUAUUGGACAAUGGGCGCAAGCCUGAUCCAGCCAUGCCGCGUGAGUGAUGAAGGCCCUAGGGUUGUAAAGCUCUUUCACCGGAGAAGAUAAUGACGGUAUCCGGAGAAGAAGCCCCGGCUAACUUCGUGCCAGCAGCCGCGGUAAUACGAAGGGGGCUAGCGUUGUUCGGAAUUACUGGGCGUAAAGCGCACGUAGGCGGAUCGAUCAGUCAGGGGUGAAAUCCCAGGGCUCAACCCUGGAACUGCCUUUGAUACUGUCGAUCUGGAGUAUGGAAGAGGUGAGUGGAAUUCCGAGUGUAGAGGUGAAAUUCGUAGAUAUUCGGAGGAACACCAGUGGCGAAGGCGGCUCACUGGUCCAUUACUGACGCUGAGGUGCGAAAGCGUGGGGAGCAAACAGGAUUAGAAACCCUGGUAGUCCCAUG
rnacentral:rRNA from 1 species